GUGCUCACUUCGGCAGCAUGCAUUCUAACACUGGAAUGAUAUGGAGAUUAACACGGCCCCAGUGCAAGGAUGAUAUGCAAAUUUAUGACGUGUUACGCAUUACA